AAUGAACGCUGGCGGCAUGCCUUACACAUGCAAGUCGAACGGCAGCAUGACCUAGCUUGCUAGGUUGAUGGCGAGUGGCGAACGGGUGAGUAAUGCAUCGGAACGUGCCUUUUAGUGGGGGAUAACGUAUCGAAAGUUACGCUAAUACCGCAUAUUCUCUGAGGAGGAAAGCAGGGGACCUUCGGGCCUUUCGCUAGAAGAUCGGCCGAGGUCGGAUUAGCUAGUUGGUGAGGUAAAGGCUCACCAAGGCAACGAUCCGUAGCGGGUCUGAGAGGAUGAUCAGCCACACUGGAACUGAGACACGGCCCAGACUCCUACGGGAGGCAGCAGUGGGGAAUAUUGGACAAUGGGCGCAAGCCUGAUCCAGCCAUGCCGCGUGAGUGAAGAAGGCCUUCGGGUUGUAAAGCUCUUUCGGCUGGGAAGAAAGCGCAACCUCUAAUACAGGGUGUGGAUGACGGUACCAGCAGAAGAAGCACCGGCUAACUACGUG
rnacentral:rRNA from 1 species